rnacentral:rRNA from 1 species
AAAUUGAAGAGUUUGAUCAUGGCUCAGAUUGAACGCUGGCGGCAGGCCUAACACAUGCAAGUCGAACGGUAACAGGGAUCAGCUUGCUGAUUCGCUGACGAGUGGCGGACGGGUGAGUAAUGUCUGGGAAACUGCCUGAUGGAGGGGGAUAACUACUGGAAACGGUAGCUAAUACCGCAUAACGUCGCAAGACCAAAGAGGGGGACCUUCGGGCCUC